AUGAAGAUAGUAGGCAUGAUCAUGGACAAACGCAGUGAGUGCUCAACCCAUCUGUGCAUACGAUGCACUUCAUGCCCUCGUUCCGCUGCCAUCCUUAUCUUGCCUCUCCUGGAUCUGGCUCCCCAAAGUGUCGUCUUGCUGUCCCUCCCCGGGUUACCUCGACCUUGCAGGACAGUAGGACGGGAGGGCGGUGGCUGGAGUAGGGAUUGGUUGAAGGGAACACUGGAGAAGGGAAUGCAAUGGAACUAUGAAGGGCGGGUCGGCGAGGAAUCCCGCACUGCGUGA
rnacentral:rRNA from 1 species